GACGAACCGAGCGAACGUUAUUCGGAAUCACUGGGCUUAAAGGGCGCGUAGGCGGGUUGCCAAGUUCGGGGUGAAAUCCUCCAGCUCAACUGGAGAACUGCCUCGAAUACUGGUGAUCUCGAGGAAGGUAGGGGCAUGCGGAACUGUGGGUGGAGCGGUGAAAUGCGUUGAUAUCCAUAGGAACUCCGGUGGCGAAGGCGGCAUGCUGGACCUUUUCUGACGCUGAGGCGCGAAAGCCAGGGGAGCAAACGGG
rnacentral:rRNA from 1 species